rnacentral:sRNA from 1 species
AGCUCGACCGGAUCGACAGCGCGGGUCACCACCAAGUAAUCGCGCAGCGCCGUACUGUGCCUGUUUUC